AGUGAACGCUGGCGGUAGGCCUAACACAUGCAAGUCGAACGGCAGCACAGUAAGAGCUUGCUCUUACGGGAGGCGAGUGGCGGACGGGUGAGGAAUACAUCGGAAUCUACUUUUUCGUGGGGGAUAACGUAGGGAAACUUACGCUAAUACCGCAUACGACCUACGGGUGAAAGCAGGGGAUCUUCGGACCUUGCGCGAUUGAAUGAGCCGAUGUCGGAUUAGCUAGUUGGCGGGGUAAAGGCCCACCAAGGCGACGAUCCGUAGCUGGUCUGAGAGGAUGAUCAGCCACACUGGAACUGAGACACGGUCCAGACUCCUACGGGAGGCAGCAGUGGGGAAUAUUGCACAAUGGGCGCAAGCCUGAUCCAGCCAUACCGCGUGAGUGAAGAAGGCCUUCGGAUCGUAAAGCCCUUUUGUUGGGAAAGAAAAGCAGCAGGUUAAAAUGCCGCUGUUCUGACGGUACCUAAAGAAUAAGCACCGGCUAACUUCGUG
rnacentral:rRNA from 1 species